rnacentral:misc_RNA from 1 species
UCCAGUUUAACACUGGCAGUCCCUCUAGAGUGCCCAACUUAAUGAUGGCAACAAGAGGAGUGGGUUGCGCUCGUUACGGGACUUAACCCAACAUCUCACGACACGAGCUGACGACAGCCAUGCAGCACCUGUCUCUCUGUCCCUUGCGGGAAAGCCGACUUUCAUCGGAUGUCAGAGGAUGUCAAGACCAGGAUAAGGUUCUUCGCGUUGCGUCGAAUUGAACCACAUGCUCCACUGCUUGUGCGGGUCCCCGUCAAUUUCUUUGAGUUUUAAUCUUGCGACCGUACUCCCCAGGCGGGAUGCUUAACGCGUUAGCUUCGUUACUGAGACGGUUAACGUACCCAACAACAAGCAUCCAUCGUUUACGGCGUGGACUAC